CUUUUGGAUGGGUAAUUAGCAACAAUAUUGAUUUUCUUAGAUUGUUGCCUAGUAGCAUAAACUUGGUUAAAGCAGUCCUGCUGGCAUUCUAGAAAAGGCUUUCUUUUACUGGUGUUUAUCAUUUGGCUGCUGAAAUUCACACUGGGUGGAACUUGGCCUGACCGUUCUCAGCUCAGUUGCAACUUAGAAGAAAACAGAUUCUGCUUUGCUUAAAUUGUUUUCGAUUGACUGGGAUGGAACCCCAUCAUAAACUGAAGAUCUAUGCACAUAAAUCAACUUUUGCAGUGGGCCCUGGAACUUGAGAGUCUAGGGAUGGUUUGAAGCAAAAAUUAGAUUUCUACAAUACAACAAAAAAUCAUUGAAGAGGAAAUCAGUGAACUGGAAGACAGUACUGAGAAAAUCACUCUGAAUGCAGCACAGAAACAUCGAGAAACAGAGAAUACUGAAGACAUAUAUUGUUUGAGAAUCCCUGCCAUAUGUGUAGUGGAGUUCCAGAGAAAGAGAACAUAAAGAAUAAGGGAAAAGAAGAUAUUAAAAGGUUUCCUAUGAUAUUCAGACUUCUUUAUUAGUUCUAGGGUCAUUGCAAUACACCUCUCAUCCUAUCUUCAGAUCAUCACUUCUCUGUUUUCCACCUCUGGUGCCUGCUGAGGUCUUCACAACCACCU